AGGUGCAGUAGGGAGACUGGAAUUCCUGGUGUUACGGUGGAAUGCGCAGAUAUCAGGAGGAACACCGAUGGCGAAGGGAGGUCUCUGGGCUGUAACUGACGCUGAGGAGCGAAAUGCAUGGGGAGCGAACAGGAUUAGAUACCCUGGUAGUCCAUGCCGUAAACGUUGGGCACUAGGUGUGGGGACCAUUCCACGGUUUCCGCGCCGCAGUAA
rnacentral:rRNA from 1 species